rnacentral:rRNA from 1 species
AACGAACGCUGGCGGCAGGCUUAACACAUGCAAGUCGAACGCCCCGCAAGGGGAGUGGCAGACGGGUGAGUAACGCGUGGGAAUCUACCCAGUUCUACGGAAUAACCCAGGGAAACUUGGACUAAUACCGUAUACGCCCUACGGGGGAAAGAUUUAUCGGAAUUGGAUGAGCCCGCGUAAGAUUAGCUAGUUGGUGGGGUAAUGGCCUACCAAGGCGACGAUCUUUAGCUGGUCUGAGAGGAUGAUCAGCCACACUGGGACUGAGACACGGCCCAGACUCCUACGGGAGGCAGCAGUGGGGAAUAUUGGACAAUGGGCGCAAGCCUGAUCCAGCCAUGCCGCGUGAGUGAUGAAGGCCUUAGGGUUGUAAAGCUCUUUCAGUGGGGAAGAUAAUGACGGUACCCACAGAAGAAGCCCCGGCUAACUUCGUGCCAGCCGCCGCCGUAACAC